AGAUUUCAUUAAAAUAUCUCCGCUUUUCUUUCGAAAAUGAACGAAAGUCUUAGAUGGUUUGGAGCAUCUUAAGGCUUCUGCAAGCGUGUAUGGUGUCUGGCUUCAGAACCUCACUGUGACUUCAGAUAAGAACAAAGAUUAAAUUGUAAGAAGGGUUGCUUAUAAAAGCAUACAGUACAUCUGAAACUGCUGAGGCUGGGAAGGUUUUUGACUAUAUUUCCGACCAGAUCAGCUGCUAUAGAAGACAAACUGAAAUCUGAGUGCAGAGACAAGCAAAGGAAUAGUUGCAAGACACUACUGACUAGGCUGUGCCCAGGUCUCCGGAACCUGCGACGAUGCUCAGCUCCAUCAGCCCUCCGUCUGCGCCUUCAGAUCCACCAGCUCUGUCUCCAUCGGUCGGCCCCCAGAUGUCGGCAGCCACACCAUCUACAUCUCGGCUCCUCCCUCCCUCGACUCCGCCGUGUGUUGUCAGCACUGGGAUGCUCUGGGUCUGUGCCAUGUGCCAAACUCCAUCUAAGCCGCCAGGGCAUCAUCGUCAUCCUCUCAUCACCAUCCCUACACCAUCUCCUCGUCCACCUCCAAAACCCCUCCAUCCCUCCCUAUUCUGUUGCUUGAACUUUAUCAUCUUCAGUCUUUGCACACACAUCUAUUCACUUUACAUGUUUUUUUUUUCUUCAGAAAAUUGCGUUGUAAUUUUUAUUUAUUCAUUGAUGUAAAAUUCUUUACUUUUCAGUAAUACAGGUAUAACUGAAAUGCUCUACAAAUUGAU